rfam:Heterocephalus glaber contig120707, whole genome shotgun sequence.
GGGGAUGUAGCUCAGUGGCACAGCGCCUGCCCGGCAAGCUCGAGGCCCUGGGUUCGAUUCCCGGUACCA